ACUCCCAUUUGACUACCACAUUUUCUCCCAAUAAUAGAUCUUAGUGGCUAUGCUUGUGGGAAAGAUUAAAUUGCCAUGAUCUGAAGAGGGAGGAUUUAUUUGUGUCCUCCUCCUAUAUGUAAUGGCUGAACAGAAAAUU
rnacentral:snoRNA from 1 species